AUUUCCGCGAAUUGAGGAUACCUCCAUCAUAAGGACCAGCUGCGAAUUGGGAAACUUUGGGAGCAAAAUAGUAGCAGUGACAUUUGAAAUUCUGCUCAACGUGUAAGUUAAAAUUGGGGCAGAGACAGAACCCAUCAAGAAAGAAGAAAGUAACACAUCCAUGUGAUGUGACCACGUCACCAGUUUUUGGCAUUGCCAAGCAAACCGUUUCUCUUCUGUCAGCUAUCGGUCUCUCCCGUUUCACCAUCUGUCCACUCGCUCAAUUUUUUAACAAGC
rnacentral:misc_RNA from 1 species